rnacentral:rRNA from 1 species
AUUGAACGCUGGCGGCAGGCCUAACACAUGCAAGUCGAGCGGAUGAAGGGAGCUUGCUCCUGGAUUCAGCGGCGGACGGGUGAGUAAUGCCUAGGAAUCUGCCUGGUAGUGGGGGAUAACGUCCGGAAACGGGCGCUAAUACCGCAUACGUCCUGAGGGAGAAAGUGGGGGAUCUUCGGACCUCACGCUAUCAGAUGAGCCUAGGUCGGAUUAGCUAGUUGGUGGGGUAAAGGCCUACCAAGGCGACGAUCCGUAACUGGUCUGAGAGGAUGAUCAGUCACACUGGAACUGAGACACGGUCCAGACUCCCACGGGAGGCAGCAGUGGGGAAUAUUGGACAAUGGGCGAAAGCCUGAUCCAGCCAUGCCGCGUGUGUGAAGAAGGUCUUCGGAUUGUAAAGCACUUUAAGUUGGGAGGAAGGGCAGUAAGUUAAUACCUUGCUGUUUUGACGUUACCAGCAGAAUAAGCACCGGCUAACUUCGUG